rnacentral:rRNA from 1 species
UGGGGAAUAUUGCACAAUGGGCGCAAGCCUGAUGCAGCCAUGCCGCGUGUGUGAAGAAGGCCUUCGGGUUGUAAAGCACUUUCAGCGAGGAGGAAGGUGGUGGACUUAAUACGUUCAUCAAUUGACGUUACUCGCAGAAGAAGCACCGGCUAACUCCGUGCCAGCAGCCGCGGUAAUACGGAGGGUGCAAGCGUUAAUCGGAAUUACUGGGCGUAAAGCGCACGCAGGCGGUUUGUUAAGUCAGAUGUGAAAUCCCCGGGCUCAACCUGGGAACUGCAUUUGAAACUGGCAAGCUAGAGUCUCGUAGAGGGGGGUAGAAUUCCAGGUGUAGCGGUGAAAUGCGUAGAGAUCUGGAGGAAUACCGGUGGCGAAGGCGGCCCCCUGGACGAAGACUGACGCUCAGGUGCGAAAAGCGUGGGGAGCAAAACAGGAUUAGAUGCCCUGGUAGUCCACGCUGUAAACGAUGUCGAUUUGGAGGUUGUGCCCUUGAGGCGUGGCUUCC